GUCACGAGUUCGACUAACCUAAUCUAGAUAGCCCCCUGGGUUGUUAAUUAACUCUAACCUAGAGUCCUUCUAUUAACCAGCCCACUAGUGAGAGUCAAUCUCUUGAAUUAUCUCCCCCCAAGAGAUCCAAACUGCCUGACCUAUCCUGUUAGUUUCACAGCUCUCAGUUCUCUCACACACAACCAAAACUCCAAAUUGCACUUUCCUCUCCAAAACCCAAAACCAAACUGCCUGGAGCUCUUUUUUCUCUUCACUCUAAGACUUGGCUCCUCCCAUCUGCUCUGGCCAAUCCUAGGAUUCUCUCUCUAAACUCCUUCCUCUUUCUAACCACACUCAAGAUGGCUGCCUGGCAUUCCUCUACAAAAUGGAGGCCUGCCUCACUCACUGUUACCCAGGCUUGAUUUCCAGCCUAAUAGAAUAACAGCAAUGACUCAACAGUGUGAAGAUAGAAAGCCAACAAUGCUGCAAGACAAUUAAAAUUGUAUCUUCCUGCAAUGCUGAAUGGAAAGAACCACAUGUAGAAGCUGGGUAGGCUCACCAGCCAUAUCUAGACUAUAAUACACACUGUAAUCAUAAGCAUCUAUUCAGAAAUAAAUCAUGUUGUGCACUUUA